rnacentral:lncRNA from 1 species
UGGAGACGUCUGGCGAAUCGUUCAGCCUGCUGUAGCUCAUUGCCAACGACGGCUACAAGAUGGCCAGUUCUACUAUGCGACCAAGGCUUUCGAUGUCCUGGAAAGAUUGGACCCCAAUCCUGAAUACUGGGAAGGCAAGCGAGGGGCGUGCGACUGGGCGUAUUCCAGCAGAUCAUAGCUGGUCAUGAACCAAGAGAAACACUGCGAGACAUCCUCCAAAUCUUGCGCAACACCGGUUACCCACAGGUGGAAUACAUCAUCCGUGUCAUGAAGAAGUGGGCCAAGGACAACAGGGUACCAGUUUCCUGAGGUGGUCCCUAUCCUAGUCUUGAGAUUGUUUAAAUUUGUACAUUCCAAAAACCCUUGCUUGCAAAGGGAUUUUCCAAAAAUAAAAUAAUGGAACGAUACUGUUGAUUAGGGGUGAUUUAAUUAUUCUUGACGCAUGGGAAAUUUGCCUUGAAAUAUUUCUCUGUUUAGCUUUGGCAAGAUAG